UACGAAGGGGGCGAGCGUUGUUCGGAUUUACUGGGCGUAAAGCGUGCGCAGGCGGUUCGUUGUGUCGGCGGUGAAAGCCCCGGGCUUAACCUGGGAAUGGCCGUUGAAACUGGCGAACUGGAGUGUGGCAGAGGGGGGUGGAAUUCCGCGUGUAGCAGUGAAAUGCGUAGAGAUGCGGAGGAACACCGAUGGCGAAGGCAGCCCCCUGGGCUAACACUGACGCUCAGGCACGAAAGCGUGGGGAGCAAACAGG
rnacentral:rRNA from 1 species